rnacentral:rRNA from 1 species
UACGUAGGUGGCAAGCGUUGUUCGGAAUUAUUGGGCGUAAAGGGCGCGUAGGCGGCCUGUUAAGUCAGCUGUGAAAGCCCGGGGCUCAACCCCGGAGGGUCGGCUGAUACUGGCAGGCUAGAGUACGGAAGAGGUAGCUGGAAUUCCCGGUGUAGCGGUGAAAUGCGCAGAUAUCAGGAGGAACACCUAUUGCGAAGGCAGCUCGCUGGGACGUAACUGACGCUGAGGCGCGAAAGCGUGGGGAGCAAACAGG